GAUGAACGCUGGCGGCGUGCCUAAUACAUGCAAGUCGAGCGAACGGACGAGAAGCUUGCUUCUCUGAUGUUAGCGGCGGACGGGUGAGUAACACGUGGAUAACCUACCUAUAAGACUGGGAUAACUUCGGGAAACCGGAGCUAAUACCGUAUGAUAUUUUGAACCGCAUGGUUCAAAAGUGAAAGACGGUCUUGCUGUCACUUAUAGAUGGAUCCGCGCUGCAUUAGCUAGUUGGUAAGGUAACGGCUUACCAAGGCAACGAUGCAUAGCCGACCUGGGAGGGUGAUCGGCCACCCUGGAACUGAGACACGGUCCAGACUCCUACGGGAGGCAGCAGUAGGGAAUCUUCCGCAAUGGGCGAAAGCCUGACGGAGCAACGCCGCGUGAGUGAUGAAGGUCUUCGGAUCGUAAAACUCUGUUAUUAGGGAAGAACAUAUGUGUAAGUAACUGUGCACAUCUUGACGGUACCUAAUCAGAAAGCCACGGCUAACUACGUG
rnacentral:rRNA from 1 species